UACGUAGGGUGCAAGCGUUGUCCGGAAUUAUUGGGCGUAAAGAGCUCGUAGGCGGUUUGUCGCGUCUGCUGUGAAAACCCGAGGCUCAACCUCGGGCCUGCAGUGGGUACGGGCAGACUAGAGUGCGGUAGGGGAGAUUGGAAUUCCUGGUGUAGCGGUGGAAUGCGCAGAUAUCAGGAGGAACACCCGUGGCGAAGGCGGCCCACUGGGCCGGUACUGACGCUGAGGCGCGAAGGCGUGGGGAGCGAACGGG
rnacentral:rRNA from 1 species